rnacentral:lncRNA from 1 species
UUAUAUGAAAACUGUAGAUCUCGACGAGAUAUACAACUUUAUGGUUGAAACUUUUUUCAUUUGAUGUCAUAUUGGCACUCAAAUAAUCGACACAAAUUUCAGAUCUAAAAUUCGAAUUUUAGAUCUGAAACUAGGUAGCACACUUUCAAAAAAUGAUAACUAAUUUAUAUGAGCUCAGAUAGAGAUAAGUUUUAUAUAAAAAUUGUAGUCCUCGACGAUAUGUACAACUUUGUAGUUCAACUGUUUUCAUUUGGAGCUAUUUAAUUGCUCAAAUAAUGAACACAAGUUUCAGAUCUAAAAUGAAACUUGUGUUGAUUAUUUGAAUACCAAUAUGACAUUAAAUGAAAAAAGUUUCAACUACAAAGUUGUAGAUCUCGUCGAGAUCUACAAUUUGCAUAAUGUUUAUCUUCAUCCGAGUUGAUAUGAAUUAAUUAUAAUUUUUUGAAAAUAUA